rnacentral:rRNA from 1 species
AUUGAACGCUGGCGGCAUGCCUUACACAUGCAAGUCGAACGGUAACAGGUCUUCGGAUGCUGACGAGUGGCGAACGGGUGAGUAAUACAUCGGAACGUGCCCGAGAGUGGGGGAUAACGAGGCGAAAGCUUUGCUAAUACCGCAUACGAUCUCAGGAUGAAAGCAGGGGACCGCAAGGCCUUGCGCUCACGGAGCGGCCGAUGGCAGAUUAGGUAGUUGAUGGGAUAAAAGCUUACCAAGCCGACGAUCUGUAGCUGGUCUGAGAGGACGACCAGCCACACUGGGACUGAGACACGGCCCAGACUCCUACGGGAGGCAGCAGUGAGGAAUUUUGGACAAUGGGCGCAAGCCUGAUCCAGCCAUGCCGCGUGCAGGAUGAAGGCCUUCGGGUUGUAAACUGCUUUUGUACGGAACGAAAAGACUCUGGUUAAUACCUGGGGUCCAUGACGGUACCGUAAGAAUAAGCACCGGCUAACUACGUGCCAGCAGCCGCCGUAACAC